rnacentral:lncRNA from 1 species
UUGCAAGAGAAGAGCUGUAGAACGACACCACUGCAACAUCGGAGAAUCAAACCCGGCAACACAGAGCCACCAAAGAAGGACUAGAAGAUCACACUGCAACGGAAUACCAUCCGAAAGUUGAACCCAAGAACUGAAACCAAACUCAUACCAAAGCACCCAGACAACCGAAAACACUAUCCAAUCCAGAAGAGCAAGGAAACACAAACGCCUCUAGAGCAAAACCAACACCGCAAAGAAGU